CGAAUUAAUUUUCGAUAGUGCCAAACCAGCGAUAGUGCCAUCGAUAGCUCUCCACCUCUAAACAACAACGACUGCAGAAUAACAAAAAAUUGAUAUUUAAUGGUUCUGUCUCUUCGAUGAGGAUGUUAUCCUCUGCUGAAGUGCUAUUAAUCUCGGAUAAAUGGAAGAAGCUGACCGCGCUCAACGAAUCAUCCGAAUCAACAAAAAUAACACUGCUGCUAUCUCUGCUAGGUGUAUUUUCGUCGUCACUAUUGCCAGCUUCGCCCAUUUGGGGCAGUUUGCACGGGAGAUCGUCAUUCUUCUGCGACAGAAACUGGUGGAAUGAAAGUGCCGUGUAGGGAGACACGGCAAAUGAAAAACUUACUCUUUUAUUCUCGGUAAUAUUCUCGUUUAAUUUCAAAUUGCUAAGCAUAUUUGACAAAGAAGUGUUAUUUUCUUGAAGCGACAUAUUUACUUUACUGUUGCUUUGAGA